ACGGCUCAGUAACACGUAGUCAACCUAACCUAUGGACGGGAAUAACCUCGGGAAACUGAGAAUAAUGCCCGAUAGAACAUUAUGCCUGGAAUGGUUUAUGUUCCAAAUGAUUUAUCGCCGUAGGAUGGGACUGCGGCCUAUCAGUUUGUUGGUGAGGUAAUGGCCCACCAAGACUAUUACAGGUACGGGCUCUGAGAGGAGUAGCCCGGAGAUGGGUACUGAGACACGGACCCAGGCCCUAUGGGGCGCAGCAGGCGAGAAAACUUUGCAAUGUGCGAAAGCACGACAAGGUUAAUCCGAGUGGUUCCUGCUAAAGGAACCUUUUGUUAGUCCUAGAACCACUAACGAAUAAGGGGUGGGCAAGUUCUGGUGUCAGCCGCCGCGGUAAAACCAGCACCUCAAGUGGUCAGGAUGAUUAUUGGGCCUAAAGCAUCCGUAGCCGGCUCUGUAAGUUUUCGGUUAAAUCUGUACGCUUAACGUACAGGCUGCCGGGAAUACUGCAGAGCUAGGGAGUGGGAGAAGUAGACGGUACUCGGGAGGAAGUGGUAAAAUGCUUUGAUCUCUCGAUGACCACCUGUGGCGAAGGCGGUCUACUAGAACACGUCCGACGGUGAGGGAUGAAAGCUGGGGGAGCAAACCGGAUUAGAUACCCGGGUAGUCCCAGCUGUAAACUAUGCAAACUCAGUGAUGCAUUGGCUUGUGGCCAAUGCAGUGCUGCAGGAAGCCGUUAAGUUUGCCGCCUGGGAAGUACGUACGCAAGUAUGAAACUUAAAGGAAUUGGCGGGGGAGCAC
rnacentral:rRNA from 1 species